rnacentral:misc_RNA from 1 species
UCCGAGUUGACCCCGGCAGUCUCCCACGAGUCCCCGGCAUAACCCGCUGGCAACGUAGGACAAGGGUUGCGCUCGUUGCGGGACUUAACCCAACAUCUCACGACACGAGCUGACGACAGCCAUGCACCACCUGUCACGGGCCCUUACGGACACUGUAUUUCUACAGCUUUUCCCGUGAUGUCAAACCCAGGUAAGGUUCUUCGCGUUGCAUCGAAUUAAACCACAUGCUCCGCUGCUUGUGCGGGCCCCCGUCAAUUCCUUUGAGUUUCAGCCUUGCGGCCGUACUCCCCAGGCGGGGCACUUAAUGCGUUAGCGCCGGCACCCGGGGGGUCGCUCCCCCGGGCACCUAGUGCCCAUCGUUUACGGCGUGGACUAC